rnacentral:sRNA from 1 species
CGUCCAGUUGCUUGGAGAAGCCCGUUCACCGCCUCCAGCUGCUGCUCGCCUCGACAUGGACCCUGAGACCUGCCCCUGCCCUUCUGGUGAGCCCCCGCCCCUGUUCCCAUCCUGCGGCACUGCGCGCCCUUGUACCUGCAAAGAAACCCACGCCCUGCGCCUUCGCUCAAGGACACUUGGGGGAAGGGCUCCUGAUUCCCUAUUCUUCACCUCAUGAAGGGCGGACAUGCCUGUGUCGCGGAGAACAGGGAUACUUGGCGCCCUAUCUCCUCGUGACAGGCGUGGGGACCCGAGUUUGUCCACAUUAACCCUUCCUGUGGCGUCGCCCUCUCUAGGUGGCUCCUGCACCUGCGCGGACUCCUGCAAGUGCGAGGGAUGCAAAUGCACCUCCUGCAAGAAGAGUGAGUGCGGGGACCCUUCCUGUCUGCCGCCCUCCCCUCUGCUCUGCGGAGUCGGUGUCUCACCACGCAGGAUGUGGAGAGACAGCCAGGCCCUGAUCCCGUGGUUUCUGACUCUUGCUGGAACAGAACCACCCGGGCAGACAUUAAAAUACAGAUGCCCCUGCCCCACACCCAGGAAUUGAUGGCCUAGGCGUGGGACGAGAGGUUUUUGUAAAUCCCCAGAAGACUCCAAUGGCAGCUGGGAUUGAGGACUGCCACACUGGUCCAACAUUUCCCGCCCCACCCCUCAAAACCCCCAAAACCUGGGGAAGCCAUUAGUGAAGCUGGGGCUCAGCUCUGGAGUUACGGUCCCUUGGCCUCUCUCAGGCCUUACAAAUCCUCUCAGUUUGAUCUCAAAAUCUCCCCAGCUCACGGCAGUGUAAUAUGCAUGGGGAGUAAGAGGUGGGAAGAAGGCUCCCUUCUUCCCUAGGUAUAAAACCAGACACAGGUCCCCACCGCCUCCCCACGGCUUUCCUGGGCCCCUUACAUUUGCACCAUAUCUGCCCCUCCCAAGUUUAUCCUUUGAGGCCCCUUUCAAGGUCGUUUACCCUGUGAUGCUUCCUCCUUAAGGCCUAGUACCCACCUAACCUGGGCUUAAGCCCACCAGCCCCCAGGACUUCCUGGCAUCCAUCCAAGGGGCUCUGGUCUAUUUCCUGGGUACCGCGCUCCUGUGGUGGUGCAGGAUGCCACUGACGCGACAUAGAUGCUGAGUCAAAGCAGGUGUGAGACUAAGAAGGGGGCUGCGACCAGCCCUGGCUGAAUGAACCAGGAUGACUUUCCACCCAGCACCCUUCCCUCCCCUUUGAUGGGGACGGACUGGGGGAGUGUGCAUCAGAGACAGGUCAUCUUCCAUUUUAUCUGCAGGCUGCUGCUCCUGCUGCCCUGCGGAGUGUGAGAAGUGUGCCAAGGACUGUGUGUGCAAAGGUGGAGAGGGGGCUGAGGCAGAGGCAGAGAAGUGCAGCUGCUGCCAGUGAGAAAGCACCCCUCCGUGUGGAGCACGUGGAGACAGUGCCAGGUGGCUCAGUGCCACCUAUGCCUGUGGUGAGGUGUGGCUCGUGUCCCCUUCCCCUGCUGACCUUGAGGGAGUGACAAUAAAUCCCAUGAACAGCA